UCAACUUGGAAUCACAGAGAAAUGUUAAUCAUUUGCUAUGGCUUUCUUGAUUAAAGGAAUUGUAAAUGACUGAAAAACUAAAAAAAGGCUUAUUCUUGGAUUAAUGUCAGAUAAAACUUGUGCCUAUAAAGCAUCUUAGUGCAAUAUACCAUUCUUUCAAAGUUCAAACACAGACAGCAAAAUAAGGAAAAUGAGAAUAAUCAUGUCAUUAAGCCUCAAUUGGCAAAAUGUUUCAGGAGAUGAGGCUGUCCAACCAUUAGGGUAAGAAAGACUUUUGUUACUAAUCUCCAUAUAGUGUAAUUUUGCUGGCCCAAAAAUUUCCCCAAAAUUCCAUUCCCCUGGAUUACAAAUUAAUUGAAUAUCUUUAGGGGGGUGUAAUGGUUAAUUUUAUGUGCCAGUUUGACUAGGCCACAGGAUUCCCAGAUAUUUGAUCAAACAUUAUUUUGUAAGGGUGUUUUGGAUAACAUUAACAUUUAGAUUAGUAGACUGAGGAAAGCAGCUUGCCCUCCCUAAUGUGAGUGGGUCUCAUUCAAUAAGUUAAAGGCUUGAACAGAACAAGCAGGCUGACCCUCUUCCCAAUGAGGCGGAAUUUCUCCUGCCUGAUGGCCUUCCAACUGGGACAUUGUUGUUUGUUUGUUUGUUUGUUUGUUUCCCCUGCCUUUGAAUUGUAGCAUCAGUUCUUUCCAGAUUUUGAGUCUGCCAGCCUUUAGACUGAAACUACACCAUUGGCUCCCUUAGGUCUCCAGUUUGAUGACUUACCCUGCAGAUCUUGAGACCUGUCAGCCUCCAUAAUUCUAUAAGCCAAUUCCUUAUAAUAAAUCUCUCUUUCUCUCUCUCUCUCUCUACACACACACACACACACACACACACACACACACACACACACACCCCUCCUUUCUAUUGGUUCUGUUUCUUUGGAGAACCCUGACUAAUACACAGGGGACAAAAAACACUCAUUUAUGCCAGAGGCAAGGCACAACUUUUGCAUAUCUGCACAUUAAGGAGUGAAUGACUGAUCUCCCUGCCUCUCAACCACACAUUUCUGAGAAAAGGAUGGAGGAAGAAUCAACUGCAUGACCCAAAAAGUUGAAGAAAAUACCUGUGAAGGAGGUACUUAGCAUAACAAGAAGUUUCAUUUGGUCAUAAACUAUAUUUAGGGUUUUUCAGCAGAAACUUAGCCUCUAGUAGAGCAGUAAAGAGAAUACUUCCAUUCAGGGGAUGUGGAUUAGGAAGACUGGUUAAGAGAUGGUCACAGCUCCCCAGUGCCAGCUCAGCUUGAAGGGUUUCACCCCGUUACUAAUGGAGUAAGAUUUUCAACAGCAUCCAUGACCUCCUGGACAAGAAGGCAGUGUACGUUUUGUGAGUUGGAAGUGCAGAUAAGCAGGCUUGGCUGCAAAGCAGGUUUCUCUGGCUUGCCUGGUCCCUGUCCCUUGGCAGGAUUGCAGCCCACUCUGGGUGGGAGAAAUGUGGCUAAUCCACUUCCUCUCUACUCCAAUGUCUGCAUCUUCAUUUCAGAUUUCAGUUUUAGCCUCCAGCCUGCCAGGGCAAGAAGGGACCAACACUGUAAACCCAGCAUCACAAGAAUCACAAGAAUGGCAAGUAAACUGUGAAGCAAGGAGACAAGUCCAGGUUCUCUGAGGCAAAGAGGAGUGAGCGGGCACCACAGUCAGGGGUGCCUUGGCAAUCGGAGCUCGUUCCUUCAGAGUCUUCUGGUCCCGUACUCCCAUUUUCCAGGUGGGGACUCCGACGUCCAGGAAUGAGAAUGCCCUUGCCCAUGUCACAGAAGAAGUUCCAAGAACAGGACCCUGGACUCUGCCACCAGGACCCCUUCAUCAUUCUGCUUCAUCACAACACUUCUUAAAAGGAAACUUAACCCUGGCCUUCUACCCAAUAGACCCAGCAGACCUGCAACGGUGGCCCUGAGAGUCAGGGCCCAGGCCACAAUGGGGAAAAGCAGCUCUAGGGAAAGGGGUUGUGAACACAAGGCCUAGCUUGGGGGCUGUGUGGACUCUGCCCCUCCUACACCUCUCACUCCCAUCCACACAUUGGAGCUGGAAGGGCCUGCCCAGAACAGUGGAAGGGAAAGAGCACCAGGCCACUAAACACCAUGUUCUAGAUCUGUCCCUGUUGCCCCUCAUAAACCACUUUCCCACAUUGUGCCUCAGUUUCCCUAUCUGGAAAACGCAUUGGUCUCACUUUACACUCUAUAGUUUCACUGAUAUUUGGACAUUCUAUAGGUUACAAAAUUAAGUGGCCCUGUUCAAGGGAGAGAUAGAAAUAUUAGAUUUAUGUUCCAGAGGCAGAACCAUUCAGUGCCGCAGUCACCGAGGUGUAAAAGUAUAGAUUUCUGUUAACUUGAAAGGGGAGUUGAAAGAAGGCAAGAGAAAUGUCCCCUCAGGCUAAUUUGUCUUCACUUAGAAAAUGUUUUCAAAGGAAAUUCUGAGGAGGUUUGUCUCCUCCCCCAGCCAGGAGCCUCUUCCGUCUUCCCAGAACCGGAAUUUGGGUGGUGUGGCCAACAAAGGAGCCAUUCUUCCUCUAAAGGGGUCACUUCCCUCGGAUCCCAGGGCAGCGGGCUGCGGCAGGUGCUCAUGGGUGAUUGCACGGAGGCAGACAUGCUGCGGGACUUGCAGCAUCAAGGUCAUCUGUAAAGGAGCUGGCCAUGACCCGCCACUGCCCACCAAGGUCUGGAGCAGACGUUAUUCUCAACAACACUUCAAAGGGUCACAUUGUUGCUACGUGGAAAACACUGCAGGGGUGAGUGUGACAGCAGACAGACCCGUUAGAGCCACUGAUGUGCAGAGUUCUCUAACUUGGCAAAUGGCACCACCAUCCAUCCGACUGGACCAAGCACAAACUUGAGAGCCACCCUUGACACCUCCUUUCCCUUCAGCACCUCCCUACCACCACAUUCAGUCUGUCCAGGAAUAGCAGGAGAUAGAAGGAACACAGGGGAGGCAGGAGAGCAAGGCUGUUGGCCUCAUCCGCUGCCUCCUGGCUGACUGAGGACGGAUGUGUUAGAUAAAUCUGAGAACGCAAAGAAGCGCAGAGGUUCUAUUCUGCAACCCAGUAAAGAUGAAGAGGAGGAAGCUAAUUCCCAGGUGCCUACACUGAGCUAACAGACACGUGCCUCUCCCUGGUGGCUCCAGCACAGUCAAACAGAGGCAGACUCCAAGGCUCCCUUUGCUGAGUUGCCUUUGCUUCCAGUGAAGGAGAACCCAAGAGUCCAGCAAAGGAGUUCUUGACAUGACAAGGGUGGAGGAUCUGAGCACCCAGGGCCACUGAAUGGAGCAGCCAAGCCAAAGCCAAAUGGGAAUCUCAUCAGAGUUGUCUGAUGCCAGAGAGAGCCAAGGUCAGGAUGAGUCAGCCAGAGGGUGCUCCCAGGCUCUGACCCAGCUGAGAGGGGCCAGAUCAUGUGUUACACUUCUUCAGAGGCCAGAGGAAGCACAGGGCAGAGGCACAAAGACCCUAAAUCUUCCCCAUGGCCCUCAUGAGGUUGCAGAAACCACCACCACCCCUCACACGUAUAUCUGGACACACCAGAUGAGAAUAUACCAGAAGGAGGAAGAAUAUUAUCUGAAAGAUUGAGCCAUUUAUCCAAAAGAGAUUAAUCUAAAUAUACUUUAAUAUUGGGUUUAAUAUUGAUUUAAGCCUUAAAUUGAACACAAAGAGAAAAAUUUCUCUUUGCUAACCAGUUGGGUGUGGGCUUCAAAGGAAGGUUAUAUUAGGUGGAGAAAAAGUGAAGUAUGUUUUCUCUGCAUAUCCAAAUUAUAGUACAAAGUUAAUACUGUGCAUCUGACACACAGGAAUAAAAGGACCAUGAAAUCACUUGUCAAAAAUCUUAGCAGUUUAGGAAAACCAGGCAGAUAGUUGCUGCAGGGUUGGACGGGCCACAUUCCUAAAGUUCCCACAGAUAGGGCUGACUGCAGCUUUCACAACUGUAGAAAACAUAGGAGGAAAUUCAAAGAGUGAACCAGGAUGGUGGAUUCCUAACUCUUGGUCAGACCUGCCCUCUAAGUGGUAGCUCAGCUAGUCUGCCCAUGGUGGGCACCAGGCAACUUCCAUGGAGAGGGGAUAUGCCCACUCACGUCCCCUCCUGGUCAAUACUUAUAGGCAUGUCAGCAAAAAGACUUGUUUAAAAUAAACAGUCCACAAUGUAUGAUGACCCACACACAUGUUUCAAAACUGUGAAGCAUAAAUAUACUUAUUGUAGGGAAAAAAUAUUACACAAUGAAAACAACCACAUGGGUCUGGUGUUCACUACCUGCCCCUUUCCACUAGGACAAGCCAAAAGGACUUUGACAUUCUCUUCCCUGAAUCUGUUCUGCAACCUCUUCUUCAGUUAUCCUUGUGAUUCUUCCAUGGAUCUCCUGCAUGCUGUGCUGGGUCACGUGCCACCAGGAUCCCAGCUGGUUCACAGGGCACAUCAUGUCAUUGUAUCAGGUCUGAAGCAGUAGUAGUCAGUGAGCUCUCUCGGUCCUUCCUCCUGCAAAGUCUUCUUCUUCCUAACUCUGACCUUUACUCUUCUUGUUUCUAAUUGCACAACAAAUGUAAUGUGUAGACUGUAUUUCUCCUCCAGUGAAAAUCCACUUGGUCAAGUGCCUGCUGCUAGUAAACCUAGCUAGUAAGGUUAGUAAACCUCUGCUCUUCAUCAUGCUGAAAGAGAUGGCCUUUAUAGCCCUCUUUAACUGCUGUUGGGAAUAGGACAACUUCUAGGCUGGCUGCCUUGGCUCCCCCAUCCCCAUUAUUCAGAAGGUUUUACUCUAAAUCCUUCCUGCACCCCACUGUAAAGUGUCCUGCCAGAUGCAGCAAGGGGAUUUACAAUCACCCAUUUGUGCACUCCAUGGACUUUCCUGCUUAGUUCUGUAAUUCCCUCUGCUUAUGUAGAUGAAAUCCAUUCUUACACUUGUGCGCUUACCCAUGUGCUUAGUGCUAGCAAUUCUGAGCACUCGAUAUUGUCACAAGAAAAUACUACAAGAUUGCAACCCAGCUCUCUGGACAGACAGGCCUAUCCUUCCCUCAGUAGCAUAUGAGCUCCAUGAAAGCUACAAUCUAGAAUGCUACAUCCCAGUGUCUUGAACUGUGCCUGACAUGUAGUAGGCACCCAAUAGACAUGGGUGGAACAGAUGAUUGAGUUGAUGAGCAGAAAAAAACAAGAGGCGUGUUGCAUCUUCUGUGCACAAAAUCCCACCUGCAAAGAAACCUAUGUACAAGCUUCUUUUUUUGUUAAAGGCCUCCCCUUACACCUUGCCAACCCCACACCACUUUUCAAUACACAAUCUCCUGGAAAAAAAAUAAAAAAUCUCUGUGUGAUCUUUAAACAUUACCCUUGUGCUGGCACCUUUUUUGCCAAAGGCAGGAAAAACUUGUCUAUCAAGUUACCCUUCAUUUGAGCAGAGGCAACUAUCUACAGCUUUGGAACCAUGGCUCUCUCACCAGCAGCUGAGCACUUUGAUCUUCAUGCCAUUCCCCGAAAUAAAGAGGCAGAAGCCAAACCGUAGCCUGGUCUCAGCUCUCCUAGCCUCAAGCUGCAUGAGGCAGAACUAUCCAAAGGGCCAGGCAUCCAUGGACAUCUGGCAGAGAGGGUGCAAACCCCUCUGGGCUCCAGCAGCUCUCAGUGGUGCUCCUUUGAGGUUCUUUGUCCCCAGGGAGUCUAGUAUGUGUGGCCAAGGGUUUCACUGGCUCUUUGACUAUAACAAGCAUCUUAACUUACUUAAACCUCAGUUUUCUUAUCUAUAAAAUUAGAAUAACAAUAGUAUCUGCCUCACAGGAUCAUUAUGAGAAAUAAA